rnacentral:siRNA from 1 species
GAAAUAACACUAGAGUAUGCUA